rnacentral:rRNA from 1 species
CCUACGGGAGGCAGCAGUGAGGAAUAUUGGUCAAUGGGCGAGAGCCUGAACCAGCCAAGUCGCGUGAAGGAUGACGGCCCUACGGGUUGUAAACUUCUUUUGUCAGGGAGCAAUUGGGUCCACGCGUGGGCUUAGCGAGAGUACCUGAAGAAAAAGCAUCGGCUAACUCCGUGCCAGCAGCCGCGGUAAUACGGGGGAUGCGAGCGUUAUCCGGAUUUAUUGGGUUUAAAGGGUGCGUAGGCGGAAUAUCAAGUCAGCGGUAAAAAUUCGGGGCUCAACCCCGUCGUGCCGUUGAAACUGAUGUUCUGGAGUGGGCGAGAGGUAUGCGGAAUGCGUGGUGUAGCGGUGAAAUGCAUAGAUAUCACGCAGAACUCCGAUUGCGAAGGCAGCAUACCGGCGCCCAACUGACGCUGAAGCACGAAAGCGUGGGUAUCGAACAGGAUUAGAUACCCGGGUAGUC